rnacentral:rRNA from 1 species
GACGAACGCUGGCGGCGUGCUUAACACAUGCAAGUCGAACGGAAAGGCCCUGCGUUUGUGGGGUGCUGGAGUGGCGAACGGGGGAGUAACACGUGAGUAACCUGCCCUUGACUUUGGGAUAACUUCAGGAAACUGGGGCUAAUACCGGAUAGGAGCCCCUGCAGCAUGGUGGGGGUUGGAAAGUUUCGGCGGUUGGGGAUGGACGCGCGGCUUAUCAGCUUGUUGGUGGGGUAGUGGCUUACCAAGGCUGUGGCGGGUAGCCGGCAUGGGAGGGGGACCGGCGACAAUGGGACUGAGAUACGGACCAGACUCCAACGGGAGGCAGCAGUGGGGAAUAUUGCACAAUGGGCGGAAGCCUGAUGCAGCAACGCCGCGUGCGGGAUGACGGCCUUCGGGUUGUAAACCGCUUUCGCCUGUGACGAAGCGUGUGUGACGGUAAUGAGUAAAGAAGCACCGGCUAACUACGUG